CAGUCGCCGCGGUAAUACGAGGGGAGCUAGCGCUGUUCGGAAUUACUGGGCGUAAAGCGCGCGUAGGCGGCUUUUUAAGUCAGAGGUGAAAGCCCGGGGCUCAACCCCGGAAUUGCCUUUGAAACUGGAAAGCUAGAAUCUUGGAGAGGUCAGUGGAAUUCCGAGUGUAGAGGUGAAAUUCGUAGAUAUUCGGAAGAACACCAGUGGCGAAGGCGACUGACUGGACAAGUAUUGACGCUGAGGUGCGAAAGCGUGGGGAGCAAACAGGAAUAGAUACCCCCGUAGUCCCUGUCUCUUAUAC
rnacentral:rRNA from 1 species